rnacentral:rRNA from 1 species
AGUGAACGCUGGCGGUAGGCCUAACACAUGCAAGUCGAACGGCAGCACAGUAAGAGCUUGCUCUUACGGGUGGCGAGUGGCGGACGGGUGAGGAAUACAUCGGAAUCUACUUUUUCGUGGGGGAUAACGUAGGGAAACUUACGCUAAUACCGCAUACGACCUACGGGUGAAAGCAGGGGAUCUUCGGACCUUGCGCGAUUGAAUGAGCCGAUGUCGGAUUAGCUAGUUGGAGGGGUAAAGGCCCACCAAGGCGACGAUCCGUAGCUGGUCUGAGAGGAUGAUCACCCACACUGGAACAGAGCCACGGUCCAGACUCCUACGGGAGGCAGCAGUGGGGAAUAUUGGACAAUGGGCGCAAGCCUGAUCCAGCCAUACCGCGUGGGUGAAGAAGGCCUUCGGGUUGUAAAGCCCUUUUGUUGGGAAAGAAAAGCAGCAGGUUAAUACCCCGCUGUUCUGACGGUACCCAAAGAAUAAGCACCGGCUAACUUCGUG